rnacentral:rRNA from 1 species
UACGAAGGGGGCUAGCGUUGUUCGGAUUUACUGGGCGUAAAGCGCACGUAGGCGGAUCGUUAAGUCGGGGGUGAAAUCCUGGAGCUCAACUCCAGAACUGCCUUCGAUACUGGCGAUCUUGAGUCCGGAAGAGGUGAGUGGAACUCCUAGUGUAGAGGUGGAAUUCGUAGAUAUUAGGAAGAACACCAGUGGCGAAGGCGGCUCACUGGUCCGGUACUGACGUUGAGGUGCGAAAGCGUGGGGAGCAAACAGG